AGCAGCCGCGGUAAUUCCAGCUCCAAUAGCGUAUAUUAAAGUUGUUGCGGUUAAAAGCUCGUAGUUGAAUUUCGGGAUCAAGGAAUCGGUCAUGCCUCGGUAUGUACUGGUUUUAUUGGUUCUCACCUUCUAAAGAACCAUAAUGUCAUUUAUUUGGUGUUAUGGGGAAUUAGGACUGUUACCUUGAAAAAUUAGAGUGUUUAAAGCAAGCUUACGCUUGAAUACAUUAGCAUGGAAUAAUGAAAUAGGACAUCCGAUUCUAUUUUGUUGGUUUCUAGGAUCGAUGUAAUGAUUAAUAGGGAUAGUUGGGGGCAUUAGUAUUCAAUUGUCAGAGGUGAAAUUCUUGGAUUUAUUGAAGACUAGCUACUGCGAAAGCAUUUGCCAAGGAUG
rnacentral:rRNA from 1 species